rnacentral:rRNA from 1 species
UGGGGAAGUUUUCCGCAAUGGGCGAAAGCCUGACGGAGCAAUGCCGCGUGGAGGUGGAAGGCCUACGGGUCGUCAACUUCUUUUCUCGGAGAAGAAACAAUGACGGUAUCUGAGGAAUAAGCAUCGGCUAACUCUGUGCCAG